GACGAACGCUGGCGGCGUGCUUAACACAUGCAAGUCGAACGGAAAGGCCCUGCUUUUGUGGGGUGCUCGAGUGGCGAACGGGUGAGUAACACUUAAGUAACCUGCCCUUGACUUUGGGUUAACUUCAGGAAACUGGGGCUAAUACCGGAUAGGAGCUCCUGCUGCAUGGUGGGGUUGGGAAAGUUUCGGCGGUUGGGGAUGGACUCGCGGCUUAUCAGCUUGUUGGUGGGGUAGUGGCUUACCAAGGCUUUGACGGGUAGCCGGCCUGAGAGGGUGACCGGCCACAUUGGGACUGAGAUACGGCCCAGACUCCUACGGGAGGCAGCAGUGGGGAAUAUUGCACAAUGGGCGGAAGCCUGAUGCAGCAACGCCGCGUGCGGGAUGACGGCCUUCGGGUUGUAAACCGCUUUCGCCUGUGACGAAGCGUGAGUGACGGUAAUGGGUAAAGAAGCACCGGCUAACUACGUG
rnacentral:rRNA from 1 species